rnacentral:rRNA from 1 species
UACGUAGGCAGCGAGCGUUGUUCGGAGUUACUGGGCGUAAAGGGUGUGUAGGCGGUUCUUUAAGUUUGGUGUGAAAUCUCCCGGCUCAACUGGGAGGGUGCGCCGAAAACUGGAAGGCUUGAGUAUGGGAGAGGUAAGCGGAAUUCCUGGUGUAGCGGUGAAAUGCGUAGAUAUCAGGAGGAACACCUGCGGUGUAGACGGCUUACUGGACCAUAACUGACGCUGAGGCACGAAAGCGUGGGUAGCAAACAGG